rnacentral:misc_RNA from 1 species
CCGAGUCUGCAAGACUCCCUAAACCCUGUGAACAUACCUUUACGUUGCCUCGGCGGGAUCGGCCCCGCGCCCCCCGGCCCCGACCAGGGCGCCCGCCGGCAGGAUACCCAAACUCUUGUUACUAUAGUGAAUCUUCUGAGUGAUCUACUAGCAAUAAGUA